rnacentral:rRNA from 1 species
GCGGUGAAAUGCGUAGAUAUCAGGAGGAAUACCGAUGGCGAAGGCAGGUCUCUGGGCUGACACUGACGCUCAUGCACGAAAGCGUGGGGAGCAAACAGGAUUAGAUACCCUGAUAGUCCACGCCCUAAACGAUGUCGACUGGUUGUUGGGGGUUUGACACUCUCAGUAACGAAGCUAACGCGUGAAGUCGACCGCCUGGGGAGUACGGCCGCAAGGUUAAAACUCAAAUGAAUUGACGG